rnacentral:misc_RNA from 1 species
GGGUUGAGCGCACGCGGAUCUUUCCUCAUGCUCUCUUACGGAAGCCUUUGCCACCGCGCAAGCGGUAGGGUUGAGCGACUUGAAAAGAAAAAAAUAAAUAAAUCAGCCCGUGGGCAAGUCGGUGCCCUUUGAGUGCCGGCAACACUUUCGAAUUGCGGGGACACCCUAAAGCUCUCACCCACCAAGCCAGCCUGGAAACAGGUUGGUGGCCUGUGCUAACGACACGGGGUAUGGUAAUAGCGGCGGGAGAUGAGCGUGCGUUUGUGCGCGAAAUGGGCUAUCCGCAGCGAAGCCUCUGUGCCUUUUUUUGGGGGGCUGGGGAACGUUCACAGACUAAGCGGAAGUGGGUGGGGCGCCUCUGGGCGCCCUGCUUAAGAUAUAGUCGGGCUCCCUAGGAGACUAGCUUAGGAGAGGCCAGCCGUUCCGUAGGUGAACCUGCGGAAGGAUCAUUACCUGGGACUCCAGUCCCCUCGGCCCUUCGGGGUUUGGCUAUCAACCCUUGAUUAUGAGUACCAAAUUUAAGUCCCUCGGCGGGGUGCACACUGCCAAUGGGCCCUCUUAAAAAAAAACCUUUUGCAGUAUUGCUAGUAUCUUCUGAAUUUUGUGGGCAUGAAUUAUUACAACUUUCAACAAUGGAUCUCUUGGCUCUGGCAUCGAUGAAGAACGCAGCGAAAUGCGAUAAGUAGUGUGAAUUGCAGAAUUCAGUGAAUCAUCGAAUCUUUGAACGCACAUUGCGCCCCUUGGUAUUCCAUGGGGCAUGCCUGUUCGAGCGUCAUUGACACCCUCAAGCUCUGCUUGGUGUUGGGCGUCUGUCCCUGCGGGGACUCGCCUUAAAGUCAUUGGCAGCCUCUGCCCGCUUCCCGCGCAGCAGCACAGCCGCGUUAUUUGGGGAGACUGUACGGGCGGACUGGCGUCCAGCAAGCUCUUCUUUUUGACCAGCUUGACCUCGAAUCAGGUAGGGAUACCCGCUGAACUUAAGCAUAUCAAUAA